GCCCGGAUCGCGGGUGCUGCCAGCGGUGGAGGGGAGGGUCCGGCAAAUUAGAGGGCGCGGCUUCCCGACCCUGCACGCUGCACGCUGCACGCUGCGCGACGGCGGGGCCGACCCCGCCCCGGGGGAGGUGAGCCCCUUUGCUUAGGGGGAGAGGAAGGAACGCCCCCCAGUCCUAGGGAAGGAGACCCCCGCCCCGGCCCUCCUAGGGCAGGAGUGCCCUGUUGCCCUGGAACGGCCCAGCCGGUGCGCCCACACGUCUGCCCAAGGCUGGUGCGGAUGGGCGGGUCCCUGUGUCCCGGUGCGGGUCCCAGGCUGCUGGCCUUCCCGGGGCGCCGGCCUCACGUGGCAGAGCAGGUGAGGGUCGAGGGCCACCACUGCAGGUCGUAACCGGGCACUCCGGCUGAGCAUCCUCUCCUAGUUCCCUGCUCAGGACUCAGGGUCUUUGCCACUACCUCGCCCCAACUUCCUGGGUGGCCCAAGGAGACUCGAGGGCCAAAGAAGGGACUUACCCAAACCCUUCCGUACAAAUGUGCAAAUCAGCCUGCUCGGUGGAGAGAGCUGUGCUGAGGCCCCACUCCCUGCACCCUCGGGAGGCCUCUUAUCUGAUUUCUGGCUCCCAGAUGGGGCUCAGGUUACACCUGUAUCAGGAGCAGUGACACCGCAGUGGCUAGGAACACAACCCAUUUUCAGCUUUUACACUUCCUGAUCUGGGCACAUAACUGCUACCUGCCUGAUGGUCAAAGCCCAUGAAGGUAGAAGCUCAUGAAGGUUAACCGUGGCCCUGAAAUGCCAGCGAGCGGUCAGUCCUAUGUAGUUAUGGGGAGACCUGUUACUCCCUAGAAAUACUCCAUUUACUUUAGGAACAAUCGCAAACUGCUCCAGACGGGUUCAAAGCAGAUAGAUUGUCCAGAUUCUCUUGGUAGAAGGGAAAGCGUUCAUACUGACUGGACAAGUGGUCAGUAAGCAUGCCCAUUUCUACUUGGAAGGUUCUAGAAGACAUUUUUCUGAAUCUUUCUGGUUUUUGUUUUUGUUUUUGUUUUUUUUUAACCAGAGUGCUGGGGAUUGAUUCCAGGGACGCUUUAUCCCUGAGCUACACCCACAGCCUUUUGUAUUUUGAGAAAGUAUCUUGCUAAAUUGCUGAGGCUGACCUGGCCUCGAAUUUACAAUCCUUUGGCCUUACAACCCUUCUGCCUCACCGUCCUCCAAUCCCUGGGAUUACAGGCAUGUGCCACCAUACCCAGCUGAAAAACCAUCCUUUCAUAAGUAGCCUUCUGCCCCUAGAAACCACAGAUGGAUACCUAGAAACUUGGGGGCAGCACUGACUCAGUCCCUUACUGAGUUUUCUCAUACAUAAGAAAACUCAAAUGGAACCACCGUUUGACCCAGCUAUCCCACUCCUUGAUUUAUACCAAAGGACUUAACAUCAGCAUACUAUAGUGACACAGCUGCAUCAAUAUUUUAGCAGCUCAGUUCACAAUAGCUAAACUGUGGGAUCAACCUAGCUGCCUUUCAACAGGUGAAUGGAUAAAGAAAAUGUGGUACAUAUGCUGAAUGGAGUAUUACUCAGCCUUAAGGAAGAAUGAAAUUAUGGUAUUUGCAGGUAAAUGGAUGGAACUAGAGAAUAUCAUGCUAAGUGAAAUAAGCCAAUCACCCCAAACCAAAAGUUGAAUGCUAAUCAAUAAGGGGAGCAGGGGAUAGGGAAGAAUGAAAGAAGUUUAGUUGUGUCAAGAGGAGUGAGGGGAGGGGUGAGGCUGUGAGGAUGGAAAGGACAGUAGAAAGAGACAUUAUUACCAUAUUUUCAUGUCUGAUUGCCCUAUUGGAGUGCCUGCACCAUGUACAGGCAGAGGAAGGAGAAGCUGUGCUCCAUUUGUGUACAAUGUGUCCAAAUACAUUCUGCUGUCAUGUAUAACUAAUUAGAACACAUUUUUUUUAAAAGUUCAUGGGGAGGGGGGAGGGCUGGGGUUGUGGCUCAACAGUGGAGCGCUCACCUAGCACACAGAAGGCGCUAGGUUUGAUCCUCUGCACCACAAAUAAAUAGAUAAAAUAAAGGUAUUUUGUGUCAACUACAACUAAAAAAUAUUUAUUUAAAAAGAAUCCAUUCUCUCACUAUGAGAAAAAAUAUUUUCUGGCAUAGAAAAUGAAUUAAGCAGAAAUUUUAUUUAUUCUUCUCAACUUUUUUGUUGUGGUUUUUGUGGGGGGGUUUGUUGUUUGUUUUUUUGGUACCAGGGAUUGAACUCAGGGGCACUAAACCACUGAGCUACACCCCUGUCCUAUUUUGUAUUUUAUUCAGAGACAGGUUCUCACUGAGUUGCUUAGUGCCUCGCUUUUUCUGAGGCUGGCUUAAAUUCCGGAUCCUCCGGCCUUAGCCUCCCAAGCCGCUGGGAUCAUAGGCGUGGGCCACCUGGCAGGGCUAUUAUUUUCCUCAAGCAUUGUUACAAAUUUUUUCUAAAAAUGUCCCAACUUAAAUCAAAUGCAGUUUUCAAGUAAAACACAGUGAGGUGAAGAAAUUUUUUUUUUUUUUAUUUUAGUUUUUUUCGGCAGACACAACAUCUUUGUAUGUGGUGCUGAGGAUCGAACCUGGGCGGCACGCAUGCCAGGCGGGCGUGCUACCGCUUGAGCCACAUCCCUAGCCCCUAUGAAGAAAUUUUUUAGAUUGUGCCAGGCACAUUGGUACACCCCUGUAAUCCCAGGAGGCUGAGGCAGGAAGAUCCAAGUUCAAAGCCAGCCUCAGCAACUUAAUGAGCCCCUGUCUCAAAACAAAAAAUAAAAAGGGCUGGGGAUGAGACUUAGUAGUUGAGUGCUUCUGGGUCCAAUCUCUGGUACAAAAAGAAAAAGACAAAAAAACCACCUCUCAUUUAGAAAAGUCAACAUCAGGCCUGAGGUGGCUGAGUGGUUGAGCACUGGUCCGGCAUGCAGGAGGCCUUGGAUUCACUCCCCGGCCCUGCAGAUGCGCGUGCGUGCACACUUACAAGUGUCUAAAAGGCAUUUGACCAGGGAAGGGUUUUCGUGUGAUUUGGAGGUGCUCAUUCCUCGGGUCUUCCUCCCACCUCAGCCUCCCCAGCAGCUGGACCGCAGGCAUGCACCCCUGCGCCGGCUUCCUCCAGUCUUGAGUCAGCACAGGCCCUGGUCCCUGGCUGGCACUCAGCCUUCAGCACUGUGAAGCUCUGUGGCUACAGGGAGACCCUGAUUGCAGGCGCUGAGGGUGCACAGCUGGCCUGCAGGACAUGACAGGCCUGGAAUCAUAUUGGAAUGAGAGCUUCCUUAUUCGGCUUAGCCCCAAAUUCCUGAAUCAUAAGCUCCUGUGUGGCUUGCAAUAGCUCAGAAGCCACUGACAGCCUGUUCCUGCUUCCUCCUGAUCUGCCCAGCAGACUGCAGUUGACGUCACAGAGCGGUGCUAUUAGGUCAUCAGAGAACGUGGAGAAGGGCGAAGAGCAGCAAAACCUGGGUUCUUUCCCCUCAGGGGCUUUUCCCUACUUACUUUCUCUGAUAAUAAGGCCUGGUCCCAUCGGUCAUCCUCCGGGUCCUGGGACUGAGGGAACAGGCCACCAUGCGUCUCCUUACCACCAGGGGUCGCCCUUUCCCAUGGAACACCUGCUUAAUUCUGUAGCGACGUGGGACAGGGUGAGGGGACUGUGGCUUUGGCCCUGUGUUCAUAAUUUAAUGGGUUUUUUUUUUUUUUUUUGGCACUGGGGACUGAACUCAGAGGCACUCAGCCACUGAGCCACAUCCCCAGCCCUAUUUUGUAUUUUAUUUAGAGACUGAGUUACUUAGUGCCUUGCCAUUGCUAAGGCUGACUGAACUCGUGACCCUCCUGUCUCAGCCUCCUGAGCCACUGGGAUUACAGGCUUGGCCACCACUCCCAUUGUAAUUUAAUGGCUUUGAUCGGACGCCUGGAGUGCAUCUCCUCUUCCGUCAGCUCUUUUGCUGGUAAAGGAAGGAUGUGGGGAUGGAGACACAUCCUGAGCCUGUGUCCAGCCCCUCCUAAGGGAAGGUGGAAGUUCAGCCAGUUUUCCUAGUCCCCUCCCCUUGCCAGUCUAGGGAAAAAGAAACAAGGACAGGCAGGGCAGGAGAUCUGGAAGGCAGCUCCCAGCAGGAGGAGGAGGCUGCUGUGCACAGGGAGAACCCUGGGGGAGUAGCAGUGUCCACUUCAGGCUUUGAAUGUGGCCCUGCUGCUCUACCACUGCAACUGGUUUUUAAAGUGGACACUGUUUCUUUCUCUCCCUGCUCCUCCCUAAACUCUCCCCCUCCCUAAUCUCAGGGGAGACAGGAUCACCUUUUUGGCCCAUCCUAGGCAGAGGUAUCUGUCCCUGAGCACACACCCACCAUAGGAAAGAAGUCCUCCAGACUUUGGGGAUGGCACCAGAACAUCUCAGAAAUGACCAUCUCCCAAAUUAACUACAACAGAGAGCACGGGGAAUGCAGCCUUUGAGUCACCUCUUUAACAGCCCCCAGUUCUUGCUGAUGGCAGGAUCACAGCCUCUGAGACAGGAGUGCCCUGUGUCUCCUUUGCUAGCAAAACAACAAAGCUUUUUCCUUUUUCUCAAAACUGUGUCCUGGGUACUGGACUGGCAUCGGGGACAAGGAUGGAGCUUUCAGCAGCGGGGGGAGAGCAGAAGGGUGUUUGGGAAGGUCAGGGGAGAACAGUCCCCUCUGGCAGGUAGACAGAGAGGACCCAGAGGGUGGGGUGGUCAGAUAAGGAUGUGCCUGCACCUGAGAGGGGCUGUGCUCAGCAGAUAAACAGAAUAGGCCUCAGGGCCUGUGCCAGGCCUGGGACUGGUGAUAUGGGCAAGAAAGGAACAAGACAGGGCAUUUUGACACAUUGUACACAAAUGGAGCAAAACUUCUCGCUCCUCUGGCUGAACAUGGUGCAGAGUGACUCCCAGGGUGUGAUCUAGUAGUGAAUCUGACAGGCAGGGUGACUGCCUACUUAUCCUGGAGAAGGGCCCCCACAGGCUGGCUCUGGAGCAAGCAUGGAGGUUUCUGUUGGAGCCCUGGGGGUCUGCCAUGGUGUGGGACCACACCGAGGAAAGGCCCCUCAGCUGUGGCCUGCAGGCAGAGGGGGAAUGGGCAGGGCAGGCCCACAGAAGCCACGUGACAUUCCAUCUCCCCCAGCAUGGCCAGGCUUCCUGAAGGGGCCUCUGCCUCCUGCUGGGCAGAAUAUGAGAGUGGGCAAAGGGAACAAGCUAAAAGUUAGCUCAGGAAGCUAUGGGGAUGCCUGGAAGGAGGAGCUGCCCUGGAGGGCAGAGGGCUGGGCUCCCGGAGGGAGAGGAAGGGACGGUCCUCGGGGCACAGGCAUUGCCUUUGGGGGACGGGGGUCUCUGUGUGUGAAAUGUUUUGAAGUGCAACUUACUUAUGAAGAGUCUUUCUUCUUUUUUUUCGCCUGAUGGUGUUCCGUUGUAUAUCAAGAAUGCCACCUGCGGUCUGCUCUCUGAGAACUGAACAGAGCCCUUUCUUUCUGCCAACUGAAAUUUCCUCAAGUCCAAGGAUGCAGAAUGGCCACCCCAGGCCCAUGGGUCCAGAGAGAAGGCGGGUGUGCCUGAGUCCCGGGAAACAUGGAGGCAGGGGCUGCAGAAGCAGGUGGGGCCUGGUGGAUAGGAGGGAGGCUGGGGGUCGCCAGGCAGGAGAGUUGAGAGUCCCAGGCCCUCUUGGACCACAUGGCAAGGCCCUGUCUCAAAAACACAAAAGACAAGAAGCAUGUGAUCCUCAUUCAAGGAGCCACAAGGGACACUGCCACACCUGCUGGGAACAAAGGUUCUAGAACCGAACAGGGCAGGCCAAUGGGUCAGAGGGAGCAGGGUGGUGCCAGCUGCUCCUGCACCUUGCUCUAGAGGCCAGAAAAGCCCGAAUCACCUCUCGCCCCAGCCCUGACCCAAGCCAGGAACCCACGCUUGGGGAAAACAUGGCCUUCCGUCCACUUUCAGGGGAGAGGAGGGAGGGUCUGAUACAAGCCUCUGACACGGCAGCAGUAGAGGAUCAUGCACGGGGGGCGGGGCAGAGACCCCAUCUAGCAGCCCUCCUCCCCCCAUCAUGGGUGUCACCAGGGCAAGCUGACUCACUGCUGCCACUGAAAGCCACCUCGGGAGGGCGCAGGAGUGGAGAGAGGGCCCUCUGCCAGCAGGUUGUCCCGGCCAUCCUCUGUCCCUGGUGCACACGGCUCCCUUCUGGGUUGUCCCUGGUGGCAACUUGAACCCAAGCACACAGAGCUCAGUGGGCUUCCACCAGGGGCGCGCUGGCCCCGGACUUGGCCAUCUCUCUGCUGAAGAUACCCCAGCACUCAGUGCCCCUUGCCCUCCGCCUUCUCCCCACCCUCACCCUCCUCUCCCUGUCCCCCCCCCCAGGCCUCUCCUGGUGAAGGCUCAAGCUCAGGUUCAAAGGUGCCUCCUUCCACCAGAUGGAAACCCCGUGCCUCCCCUUCCCACCCCAGGAGGACAGUCCUGGCCCUUCCAGCGCACUGCAGGGUUCCUCCUUCCCUGAGUUUCCCUGGUGGAGCAGAACCUGGCUAUAGGACCCACCUCAGCCCGGCAUCCCUCUCCAGGGCCGGCUUCCCCUGGCACAGUGGCCCCCUUGCUUCUUCAUAUCAGAAAUCCUGGUCAUCUUUCUCCCUUCUUUUUUAUAUACCCCCAUAUUUUAUAUAUAAAUAUAUAUAAUUAUUAUUUCUG
rnacentral:lncRNA from 1 species